rnacentral:rRNA from 1 species
AUUGAACGCUGGCGGCAUGCCUUACACAUGCAAGUCGAACGGCAGCACGGACUUCGGUCUGGUGGCGAGUGGCGAACGGGUGAGUAAAGUAUCGGAACGUACCUUUCAGUGGGGGAUAACGUAGCGAAAGUUACGCUAAUACCGCAUAUUCUGUGCGCAGGAAAGCAGGGGAUCGCAAGACCUUGCGCUGAUUGAGCGGCCGAUAUCAGAUUAGCUAGUUGGUGGGGUAAAGGCCUACCAAGGCGACGAUCUGUAGCGGGUCUGAGAGGAUGAUCCGCAACGCUGGAGCUGAGACACGGUCCAGACUCCUACGGGGGGCAGCAGUGGGGAAUUUUAGACAAUGGGGGCAACCCUGAUCCAGCCAUGACGCGUGAGUGAAGAAGGCCUUCGGGUUGUAAAGCUCUUUCGGCCGGGAAGAAAUCGUACGGGUUAAUACCCUGUGCGGAUGACGGUACCGGCAUAAGAAGCACCGGCUAACUACGUGCCAGCCGCCGCCGUAAAAC